rnacentral:rRNA from 1 species
GACGAACGCUGGCGGCGUGCUUAACACAUGCAAGUCGAACGGAAAGGCCCUGCUUUUGUGGGGUGCUCGAGUGGCGAACGGGUGAGUAACACGUGAGUAACCUGCCCUUUACUUUGGGAUAACUUCAGGAAACUGGGGCUAAUACCGCAUAGGAGCUCCUGCUGCAUGGUGGGGGUUGGAACGUUUCGGCGGUUGGGGGUGGACUCGCGGCGGAUCAGUUUGUUGGUGGGGUAGUGUCUUACCAAGAAUUUGACGGAUAGCCGGCCUGAGAAGCAGACCGGACACAUAGGAACUGAGAUAAAGCGCGGACUCGUGCGGGAGGCAGCGGGGGGGAAUAUUGCACAACGGGCGGAAGCCUGAUGCAGUGACGCCGCGAGCGGGAUGACGGCCUUCGGGUUGUAAACCGCUUUGGCAUGUGACGAAGCGUGAGUGACGGGAAUGGGUAAAGAAGCACCGGCUAACUACGUG